GAUGAACGCUGGCGGCGUGCCUAAUACAUGCAAGUCGAACGAAUCUUCUUCGGAAGAUGAGUGGCGAACGGGUGAGUAAUACAUAGGUAACCUGCCCCUGUGCGGGGGAUAACAGGAGGAAACUCCUGCUAAUACCGCAUAGCCAUGAGCACCGCAUGGAGCUCAUGCCAAAUAUCCUUUCGGGGAUAGCGCAGGGAUGGACCCAUGGCGCAUUAGCUGGUUGGCGGGGCAACGGCCCACCAAGGCAACGAUGCGUAGCCGGCCUGAGAGGGCGGACGGCCACAUUGGGACUGAGACACGGCCCAGACUCCUACGGGAGGCAGCAGUAGGGAAUUUUCGGCAAUGGGGGAAACCCUGACCGAGCAACGCCGCGUGAGCGAAGAAGGCCUUCGGGUCGUAAAGCUCUGUUGUAAAGGAAGAACGGCGCAUACAGGAAAUGGUAUGCGAGUGACGGUACUUUACCAGAAAGCCACGGCUAACUACGUGCCAGCCGCCGCUGUAAGAC
rnacentral:rRNA from 1 species